CCUACGGGAGGCAGCAGUGGGGAAUAUUGCACAAUGGGGGAAACCCUGAUGCAGCGACGCCGCGUGAGUGAAGAAGUAUCUCGGUACGUAAAGCUCUAUCAGCAGGGAAGAAAAUGACGGUACCUGACUAAGAAGCCCCGGCUAACUACGUGCCAGCAGCCGCGGUAAUACGUAGGGGGCAAGCGUUAUCCGGAUUUACUGGGUGUAAAGGGAGCGUAGACGGCAGCACAAGUCUGGAGUGAAAUCCCGGGGCUUAACCCCGGAACGGCUUUGGAAACUGUGCGGCGGGAGUGCAGGAGGGGUAAGCGGACUUCCUCGUGUAGCGGUGACUUGCGUAGAUAUUAGGAGGACCACCGGUGGCGCAGGCGGCUUACUGGACUGUAUCUGCCGUUGAGGCUCG
rnacentral:rRNA from 1 species